ACGCCGGAAAGACCCGAUAUGGACAUCCCUUCAGGGGUAUUAAAAUAGUCACAUUCUUGGCAUUACGGUAAUUCAGUGUUGUUAAGUCGGUAUCUGCGGAAUAAACAAACGUUAUCCGCGCUGGGUGGCAUCGAUGGUCGUGUGUAGAUAUCGUCCUUGCUGGCCAUCCAAGAAAACGACCGCAUAGAUCGAGGUUGAAUUAAAUAAUUAAUGUAGAGCUAUUAAAAAAACAGUACCUCCUAUAAAAGUUCCGCGUCUUUCUACAGGAAGUCACUACAGGAAGAAUUAGUAACUUAAGAGAUGGGGGUUUGAUAUCAUAACCUGACUGGGCUGACUUAUCACUACUGGAAAACCCCCAGUGAUGGUUCAGCCUUUUACCCCCGACCCCCGCAGCGUUGCACCACAAACGUUGGCCCCCCCGUUGCCGCAGGCGAGCAGCUCCUACCUUAGUGGCGGCCCUCAGUAGGGGGUCCCUGCUCCCGUCGGUGGCGGCGUGCUCCAGGGACAGGCGGUCCAGGCUCAUGCUCUGGGAAAA